GUAGUCCUGUCUAAGUGGUUAAGGCGAUGGACUUGAAAACCAUUGGGGUCUCUCCCCGCAGAUUCGAACGCUGCCGACUACG
rfam:Xenopus laevis strain J chromosome 3L, whole genome shotgun sequence.